rnacentral:rRNA from 1 species
UUAGAUUAUUAAUAAGAGUUAAUUUAUUCAAUAUAAAUAAAUUAGAUAAAAAAAUAAGUUUGUAUAAAAAUUUAAUUUUUAUUAGUGAAAUAAAAAAAAUUAUAAAUUUAUAUAAUUAAAUGAUGAAUAAUUUUAAAAUUUAUGAAAUAAACUAGGAUUAGAUACCCUAUUAUAAUAAAAUAAAAAUUUAAAGUAUUAAAGUAUUAAAUGUUAAAUCAUUAAAUUUAUAAGAUUUGGCGGUAUUUUAUUCAAGUUAGGGGAACUUGUUUAGUAAUUGAUGAACCACGAUAGGAAUUACUUAAUUUAAUAUUUAUGUAUUGCUGUUUGAAAAUAUGUUUUAAGAAUAUAAGUUAUAAUUUAAAAAAUAUAAAAUAAUUCAAGUCAAAAUAUAGUUUAGUUAAGAUAUAAUGAGUUACAAAAAAAUAAAUUUAUAUGAAUUUUUAUAUUUAAUUAUAAAAUGAAGGUGGAUUUAAAAGUAAAUUUAAUAAAUAAAUUAAGUUGAAAUUUUGUUUUAAAAU